rnacentral:rRNA from 1 species
UACGUAGGGUGCAAGCGUUAAUCGGAAUUACUGGGCGUAAAGCGUGCGCAGGCGGUUUUUUAAGCCAGAUGUGAAAUCCCCGGGCUUAACCUGGGAAUGGCAUUUGGGACUGCAAGGCUUGAGUGCGGCAGAGGAGACUGGAAUUCCUGGUGUAGCAGUGAAAUGCGUAGAUAUUGGGAAGAACACCGGUGGCGAAGGCGGCGAGCUGGUCCAUUACUGACGCUGAGGCGCCGACAGCGUGGGGAGCAAACAGG